CAGCAGCCGCGGGAAUACAGAGGGUGCGAGCGUUAAUCGGAUUUACUGGGCGUAAAGCGUGCGUAGGCGGCUAAUUGAGUCGGAUGUGAAAUCCCCGAGCUUAACUUGGGAAUUGCAUUCGAUACUGGUUAGCUAGAGUGUGGGAGAGGAUGGUAGAAUUCCAGGUGUAGCGGUGAAAUGCGUAGAGAUCUGGAGGAAUACCGAUGGCGAAGGCAGCCAUCUGGCCUAACACUGACGCUGAGGUACGAAAGCAUGGGGAGCAAACAGGAUUAGAUACCCCCGUAGUCCCUGUCUCUUAUAC
rnacentral:rRNA from 1 species